GAUGAACGCUGGCGGCGUGCCUAAUACAUGCAAGUCGAGCGAAGCGGGGACGGGUGAGUAACACGUGGAUAACCUCCUAUAAGACUGGGAUCACUUCGGGAAACCUGAGCUCAACCGGUUACUUAUAGAUGGAUCCGCGCUGCAUUAGCUAGUUGGUAAGGUAACGGCUUACCAAGGCAACGAUGCAUAGCCGACCUGAGAGGUUGAUCAGCCACACUGUAACUGAGACACGGUCCAGACUCCUACGGGAGGCAGCAGUAGGGAAGCUUCCGCAAUGGGCGAAAGCCUGACGGAGCAACGCCGCGUGAGUGAUGAAGGUCUGCGGAUCGUAAAACUCUGUUAUUAGGGAAGCGGUACCUAAUCAGAAAGCAACGGCUAACUACGUGCCAGCAGCCGCGGUAAUUC
rnacentral:rRNA from 1 species